rnacentral:misc_RNA from 1 species
UGGAACAGGUAAAAUGGAUAUAUGUAGUGAUCCAGACCGGACAUGUAGAGCAUGUGUCAACCCACUCAGUGACGGGAAAUAUGACCUUAUAUCUACGCCAAACCUAUCCGAACUCUAUGUUCGCUUGUCCACAAUGCAACACUCAUUUUGACACAUGGUAUAAAACCAUAAAGAUCAUCACCAACUAGUUUACGGAACUAAGCAUGCGGAACUUUGUAUUGCGAGGAAAAAUUCCAUGCACAAGAACUCAAAACAAAGGAGUAAGUGAUCAAAAACUAUGCAACCAUUUGAAACAGCCACAAUUUCUCUAUGUUCGCCAUUCGAUUUAAAAUGGCAAACAAAAGCGAGUAUUCGUAAUAUAGCGGUCCGGUACCCCCUUCAAUGGAUGCAUUGUUCGCAGCGAGGCAGCUGUUCCGGUCCGGUUAAAAGACAGUGAGCAAUUAGAAGUAAAUGCUAAGCCUACUUUCAAUUAUUCUAUUAUUGAAUUUAGUGUGAUACUCUUAACAUUGCAACAGUUAUUAAAGUGUAAAGAUUGUGAUGGUGCAGUGACUUUUAGUAAAUACGGACGUGGUUUAGGAUUCAAACUUUCUGUGAGCAUUCAGAAAGGAUUCAAUAUGGUGCUAAUUAACUAUAAAUUAGAAGAGGCAAAUGAUUAACAGGUCGAGGUCCUACUUUUCGGGAAGGUCAACUUCAGCCGCAGUUUUAAAAUAAUAAAUUUGUUUUUUUAAUUUAAAAAAAAAUACUUUUUUGUAUUUAAAAUUAAUGUAAUAAUAAGUCUAAAAGAUUGAAAUUUCGUUUUUCUUUAUUUUUAUGACACAAACAAACAAAAUCUUCAAACUCUAGAUCAUCGGGAACCCUUACGUAAAUUCGAGCGAAUUCUUUUUUGUUUCACAAAAUCUCAAAAUAAAGGGAUCAUUUGUAAGGGUGUGU